rnacentral:rRNA from 1 species
GACGAACGCUGGCGGCGUGCUUAACACAUGCAAGUCGAACGGAAAGGCCCCUUUGUUGGUACUCUAGUGUCGAACGGGUGAGGAACACGUGAGUAACCUGCCCUUGACUUCGGGAUAACUUCAGGAAACUGGGGCUAAUACCGGAUAGGAAUCCUUUCUUCAUGGUGGGGGUUGGAAAGCUUCGGCGGUUUUUGAUGGACUCGCGGCUUAUCCGCUUGUUGGUGUGGUAGUGGCUUACCAAGGCUUUGACGGGUAGCCGCCCUGAGAGGGCGACCGGCCACAUUGGGACUGAGAUACGGCACAGUCUCCGAGGGGAGGCAGCAGUGGGGAAGAUUGCACAAUGGGCGGCAGCCUGAUGCAGAAACGCCGCGGGCGGGAUUACGGUCUUCGGGUUGUAAACCGCUUUCAGCAGGGGCGAAGCUUGUGGUGACGGUACCUGCAGAAGAAGCAACGGCUAACUACGUG